UACAGAGGGUGCAAGCGUUGUUCGGAAUUAUUGGGCGUAAAGCGCGUGUAGGCGGCCCGUGCAAAGUCGGGGUGUGAAAAGCCCCUCGGCUCAAACCGAGGAAGUGCGCCCCGAAACUGCAUGGCUUGAGUACCGGAGAGGAUGGCGGAAUUCCCCAAGUAGAGGUGAAAUUCGUAGAUAUGGGGAGGAACACCGGUGGCGAAGGCGGCCACCUGGACGGUAACUGACGCUGAGACGCGAAAAGCGUGGGGAGCAAACAGG
rnacentral:rRNA from 1 species